rnacentral:rRNA from 1 species
UACGUAGGAGGCAAGCGUUUGUCCGGAUUUACUGGGCGUAAAGCGCGCGCAGGUGGCAGUGCAAGUAAGGUGUGAAAUCUCCCCUGCUCAACGGGGGAGGGUGCAUUUUAGACUGCACAGCUAGAGGUCGGUAGAGGGGGGGUGGAAUUGCUGGUGUAGCGGUGAAAUGCGUAGAGAUCAGCAGGAACACCCUGGCGAAG